GUCGAACGAGAAUUGCGAAUAGCUUGCUAAUUGCAAUUUUAGUGGCGGACGGGUGAGUAACACGUGAGCAACCUGCCCGAAAGUGGGGAAUAGCCCGAGGAAACUCGGAUUAAUACCGCAUAUGAUUUUGCAGGGCAUCCUGCAAAAAUCAAAGCUGGGGAUCGCAAGACCUGGCGCUUUCGGAUGGGCUCGCGGCCUAUCAGCUUGUUGGUGAGGUAACGGCUUACCAAGGCGACGACGGGUAGCUGGUCUGAGAGGAUGAUCAGUCACACUGGAACUGAGACACGGUCCAGACACCUACGGGUGGCAGCAGUCGAGAAUCAUUCACAAUGGGGGAAACCCUGAUGGUGCGACGCCGCGUGGAGGAUGACGGCCCUAGGGUUGUAAACUCCUGUCAUCAGAGAGUAACGUUGUGUGGUUAAUACCCGCGCAAUUUGAUAGUAUCUGAAGAGGAAGGGACGGCUAACUUCGUGCCAGCAGCCGCGGUAAUACGAAGGUCCCAAGCGUUGUUCGGAAUUACUGGGCGUAAAGCGUGUGUAGGCGGCGAAGUAAGUCAGAUGUGAAAUCCCGGGGCUCAACCUCGGAACUGCAUCCGAUACUGCUUUGCUAGAGGACUGGAGGGGGGUCUGGAAUUCUCGGUGUAGCAGUGAAAUGCGUAGAUAUCGAGAGGAACACUAGUGGCGAAGGCGAGACCCUGGACAGAUCCUGACGCUGAGACACGAAGGCUAGGGUAGCGAACG
rnacentral:rRNA from 1 species